rnacentral:rRNA from 1 species
GGCUAACGCUGGCGGCGUGUCUUAGCCAUGCAAGUCGAGCGGACUUAUGGGGUAACUUAUAAGUCAGCGGCGGACGGCGGAGUAACACGUAGCUAACCUACCCUCUGGACGGGGAUAACCUACCGAAAGGUGGGCUAAUACCCGAUGUAGUCAUCCUGUAUAGGGGUGAUGAAAGGUGGGCUUCUGUUUACAAGCUCAUGCUGGAGGAGGGGGCUGCGGCCUAUCAGGUAGUUGGUAGGGUAAUAGCCUACCAAGCCGAUGACGGGUAGCCGGCCUGAGAGGGUGACCAGCCCGAGGGGCACUGAGAUACGGGUCCCACUCCUACGGGAGGCAGCAGGCUAGAAAUUUGGGCAAUGGGGGAAACCCUGACCCAGUGACGCCGCGUGCAGGAAGGAGCCCGUUCGGGGUGUAAACUGCUGUCGUGUAGGGAGAAGGGUACUAAGGUGAACAAUCUUAGUACUUGACGGUACUACAGGAGGAAGCCCAGGCUAACCUCGUGCCAGCAGCCGACGGUAAAAUAGCGUACU